CAUGGUUGUUGAUUUAACUACUUCAGAGGGAAGUAUUUAUUAAUCUAAUUUCCACUGUUUUCUAUUUCCUAUCUUCUUUUAUCCCAGAAAACUACCAAUCCCAAACAACCAUAUUAAGUACCAAUUAAGGAAAGAUUUGUCAUUCCAGCUCAAGACCAUUGAACUGGGGCUGGAGCUACAUAUCUCCUAGCUUUCUGACAGAAAUUAUUUUAAUUGGACUUUUCCUAACAGCAUUAAAACAAACCUUGUGCUGCCAGGGAAGGAAGAUAUGACUCCUCAGUCAGAUAAUUUACUUUUUUUUCUUCCUUACCAUAAAUCUUAGUAUGAAGAUUAUUAGUAACUUAAGUCUAUUUUUUUUUAAAAGGCAUCCAACUGUGACCACUUUAAGCACUGAAAAACUUCACAUGUCAAGUAUAAAUGUCCUGUUGCCAGUUGAUUUACUUUCACACAUUUGUUGCGUGUUUUAAAUAUUUCUACACAAUUUAAUUUCUAUCUAUUUAAAUAUCUAAUUUUAUUUGGAUUUUAAAAUGGUCCUGAUUAAUUGGUCUGUAAUGCAGUUUGAACUCAAAGAUGUAUAGAUAAAUUAAGCAUAUUAUCCAUGUUUGACUAGCUACAGCUAUCAAGAAAAAGAUGCAUUUCCUGGGGAGGUUUGUUGAUAUGCCUAAAAUCCAACCAAGUCUGAUUCUAGUUGAAUGACCUUUUUGUCAGAAUUUUGUGGAGAAGUUAAAAUCCACCAACACAGAAUCUGACUAAACUCUGGAUAAGUUUGUUUGGAACCCUGGGUGUUUUCCUUACAGAAAUGUAAAUUCUUCCAGAAUAGAAGGGUAAGUUUUGCAAUGUUUCACUAAUAUGGGUGUGUGGUGCCCCAGAAUUUCUAGCAUAGCCUGCCCAGUGCUCCAUGUGGUUAAGUAAACACAGCAUGGGUGUUGGGGCAUGUGGCCAAUGCUGAGGCCAGGAUGAGGCUGGGAGGAAAUAAGAGCAAAUUCCUCUGAAAUGAUCUGACAGGAAAUGACAGAGUGUCAGCCUUCUAUAACCAUACUCAGAGAGAGAGAGAGGGCGGGAGAAGUUCUUCCUAAACACAGAGUGGUGCCAGAUCUCAGUAGGUGAGGAUGAUGAAAUAAUAAAGCAUUUCCCGUGUGUGUUUUUCAUUAGUCCUAUUUUGUUUUUCUUCCAAGUGCUGUGGAAACAGAACAGAAGCCCAUGCUUCAGCCAGGACCGCAAUGGCCUCCUCCCGUGGGAGUAACAGCUGCACAAAUAGGAGGGAAAUCCUCAGUGGAAUUGCUUCCAACACCUUUCUAAUGGAAAUAAUGAUUUGCAAAACCCAAUUUAUGCCUCUGCCACAUAAUUAGUAGCCAAAAGAACUAAAGAUUAAAAACACUGUUCCAAGUCCCAGCAUCUUUGAAUUUGGCAAGACCUUAAAUAUUGCACUCUGUGUUCCAAACAGGUUGCCUAUAUGUGAGCAUUGCAAGGAAAGUCUUAGUCAGUUGAAUCAAGCCCUUGAAUCAGUCAACACUUAUUAUGUGGAAAUUAACCAGUUUGAUGUCAAUUAGUGGAAAUUUGUUAGCAGGCAUACCCUGUGGGACAGUUUAUUUUGAAUUCCGAAUACUCUUUAUUGAAGCCAGCUAAGAUAGUUGAUGUGGUCCCUGACUCCUUCUUUAAAAAUCAGAGUAGAAUUAGUUAAGAAACAGCUAAGAAACACAGAAAGAAAAGGCUACAUCGAAACACUCUUCAACACUCAAAACCUACCGCUCCAAAAUAUCCUUUGUUGAAUGGGCAUAAGUGCAAGGAAAUCAAGAUCUGAUUUUCUGUUUUAAGAAGGAACAGAAGUAUUAGAUGCCUGUUCUGUAUUUGUCAAUAUUGAGCACUGGAUGGGAAAGUCAGUUGUUCUAACGACAAUGCUCAAAACUAGCCACAUGCUCACCUUAAACGUUUUCCAUCUAUAAAGCUGGUGUUACUUUCCCAUCAUGUUGCUCACAUCAGAUGCACCAAGAUGAAGAACAGUGACAACAUAGUUGUUCACCCAUAACCCCAGGACAUCAGCAUCAUUCCAGGAAUGGUGGGUGUUAUGGUACUGGGAAGAUGAAUUGGCUGUGAUGUCAGAAUCCUGAGGAGCACCAAAGAUGGAUCAGAUACUACACAACUUACCCAGAAAGACUGGCAUGUGACAUCACUCUGAAUGAAGUCCAGGAAAUAAUGCUUCUAGAAAUUAUGCUUCCUGAAGUGAAGUCACAGCAUUUGAAAACUCUGAUUGUCAGGAAUGAUGAUAUCUAGUCCCAGAAGUACCACUUCCUUUCAUUCAGAGUCCUGGCAUACGUAUUGGCAGAACAGCAAGUUGGAAGGCUGAAAAACCCAACCAUAUCUCAUCUAAGGAACAUACAGUUUACCAUACCAGAUUGGACCAAUUAUCCAUCAAGACUGGAGUUCUGUCUUGCUAGUGGCCUAUGUUUGAUGCUCCGAAAGAAAAACAGCUGGCCAAUUAUGCAGGGUUCGCCAUGGUGGAAAGGGGGGAGGGUUACUUCAUAUCUCUAUGGUAAUCAUCACCCUGAUUUAUGCAGUUUGAUUGCCCCAUUCUAGCAA